rnacentral:sRNA from 1 species
CUUUAGCCCCGAUUGCAGUGGAAAUCAACUUUAUCAAAGUUUUAAACUUUGACAAAGUUAUUGUAACGGAAAGCGGGAACAAGG